UCGAAGCAGUCUAUGUCAUACUUCCAAGAAGAGCUUGCACUGUCAUAAACAAAUAAUGCCUGUACCAUAACCGACACAGGUGGGUAGGUAGAGUAUACUAAGGGGCGCGAGAUAACUCUCUCUAAGGAACUCGGCAAAAUGACUCCGUAACUUCGGGAGAAGGAGUGCCUUAUUUAUAAGGUUGCAAUAACAAGAUCCAAGCAACUGUUUAUCAAAAACACAGGUCUCCGCUAAGUCGUAAGACGAUGUAUGGGGGCUGACGCCUGCCCAGUGCCAGAAGGUUAAAGAAGUUGGUUAGUGUAUGCGAAGCUGAUGACUGAAGCCCUGGUGAACGGCGGCCGUAACUAUAACGGUCCUAAGGUAGCGAAAUUCCUUGUCGGGUAAGUUCCGACCCGCACGAAAGGCGUAAUGAUUUGGAUACUGUCUCGGAGAGAGGCUCGGUGAAAUAGACUUGUCUGUGAAGAUGCGGACUACCUGCACCAGGACAGAAAGACCCUAUGAAGCUUUACUGUAACUUGAAAUUGGAAUUGGACUUUGCUUGCGCAGUAUAGGUGGGAAGCGUUGAAGAUAUUCUUGCGGGAGUAUUGGAGCUAUCAGUGAGAUACCACUCUUGUAAUGUUAGAUUUCUAACUUUGAACCAUAAUCUGGUCAAAGAACAGUUUCAGGUGGGCAGUUUGACUGGGGCGGUCGCCUCCCAAAUGGUAACGGAGGCGUACAAAGGUUUCCUCUGAACGGAUAGAAAUCGUAUCUAGAGUGUAAAGGCAUAAGGAAGCUUGACUGUGAGACCUACAAGUCGAGCAGGGACGAAAGUCGGUCUUAGUGAUCUGACGGUACUGAGUGGAAAGGCCGUCACUCAACGGAUAAAAGUUACUCUAAGGAUAACAGGCUGAUCUCCCCCAAGAGUUCACAUCGACGGGGAGGUUUGGCACCUCGAUGUCGGCUCAUCGCAUCCUGGGGCGGUAGUACGUCCCAAGGGUUGGGCUGUUCGCCCAUGAAAGCGGUACGCGAGCUGGGUUCAGAACGUCGUGAGACAGUUCGGUCCAUAUCCGGUGUAGGCGUUAGAAUAUUGAGAGGAGCCUUCUUUAGUACGAGAGGACCGAGAAGGACACACCGCUGGUGUACCAGUUAUCGUGCCAACGGUAAACGCUGGGUAGCUAUGUGUGGAGUGGAUAACCGCUGAAAGCUUCUAAGUGGGAAGCCCACCUCAAGAUGAG
rnacentral:rRNA from 1 species